GUAACGGCUCACCAAGGCGACGAUCUAUAGCCGAGUUGAGAGGCUGAUCGGCCACAUUGGAACUGAGACACGGUCCAGACUCCUACGGGAGGCAGCAGCUAAGAAUCUUCCGCAAUGGGCGCAAGCCUGACGGAGCGACGCCGCGUGAACGAUGAAGGCCUUUCGGGUUGUAAAGUUCUUUUAUAAGAGACGAAUGUCUGGUGUAGGCCAGACUGACUGUAUCUUUUGAAUAAGGUCCGGCUAACUACGUGCCAGCAGCCGCGGUAAUACGUAGGGACCAAGCGUUGUUCGGAAUUAUUGGGCGUAAAGGGUACGUAGGCGGCAUGAUAAGUCAGAUGUGAAACCCUCGGGCUCAACCUGAGGCCUGCGUCUGAUACUGUUGUGCUAGAGUUACUGAGAGGAAGACGGAAUUCCUGGUGUAGGGGUGAAAUCUAUAGAUAUCAGGAAGAACACCUAUUGCGAAGGCAGUCUUCUGGCAGCUAACUGACGCUGAUGUACGAAAGUUAGGGUAGCAAACAGGAUUAGAGACCCUGGUAAUCCUAACCGUAAACGUUGUAUACUAGGUGGUUGAAGUAUUGAUCCUUUGACUGCCGGAGCUAACGCAUUAAGUAUACCGCCUGGGGAGUAUGCCGGCAACGGUGAAACUCAAAGGAAUUGACGGGGGCCCGCACAAGCAGUGGAGCAUGUUGUUUAAUUCGAAGAUACGCGAGAAACCUUACCAGGUCUUGACAUAUACCUGAAUGGUGUGGAAACACAUCCGCCCCUCGGGGCAGGUAUACAGGUGCUGCAUGGUUGUCGUCAGCUCGUGCCGUGAGGUGUUGGGUUAAGUCCCGCAACGAGCGCAACCCUUAUUCUUUGUUGCUAACAGGUUAAGCUGAGCACUCUAAGAAGACUGCCGGUGACAAACCGGAGGAAGGUGGGGAUGACGUCAAAUCAUCACGGCCCUUAUGAUCUGGGCUACAAACGUGCUACAAUGGGCGGCACAAAGAGUUGCGAUACCGCGAGGUGGAGCUAAUCUCAAAAAACCGUCCUCAGUUCGGAUUGGAGUCUGAAACCCGACUCUAUGAAGCUGGAAUUGCUAGUAAUCGCACAUCAUCAUGGUGCGGUGAAUAUGUUCCCGGGCCUUGUACACACCGCCCGUCACAUCACCCGAGU
rnacentral:rRNA from 1 species